CAUAUCAAUAAGCGGAGGAAAAGAAACCAACAGGGAUUGCCUCAGUAACGGCGAGUGAAGCGGCAAGAGCUCAAAUUUGAAAUCUGGCGCCCCGCCGGCGUCCGAGUUGUAAUUUGGAGAGGCAUCUUCAGGAGGGGGCCCGGCCUAUGUUCCUUGGAACAGGGCGUCGCAGAGGGUGAGAAUCCCGUUCUUGGCCGGACAGCCCCUCCGGUGUGCAGUGUCUUCUACGAGUCGAGUUGUUUGGGAAUGCAGCUCAAAAUGGGUGGUAAAUUUCAUCUAAAGCUAAAUAUGGGCGAGAGACCGAUAGCGCACAAGUAGAGUGAUCGAAAGAUGAAAAGCACUUUGAAAAUAGAGUCAAACAGCACGUGAAAUUGUUGAAAGGGAAGCGCUUGAGACCAGACUCGGCCAUGGACUAACAGCUGUCCCUUCUGGGCGGUGCACUUGUCCUUGGCCGGGCCAGCAUCGGUUGGGACGGCGGGACAAAGGCUGGGGGAAUGUGACUCCCUUGAGGAGUGUUAUAGCCCCCGGCGCCAUGCCGCCCGCCCCGACCGAGGACCGCGCUCGGCUAGGAUGC
rnacentral:rRNA from 1 species